rnacentral:rRNA from 1 species
GACGAACGCUGGCGGCGCGCCUAACACAUGCAAGUCGAACGGAGAAGAGAAAGCUUGCUUUUCUUCUUAGUGGCGGACGGGUGAGUAACACGUGAGCAACCUGCCUUUCAGAGGGGGAUAACGUUUGGAAACGAACGCUAAUACCGCAUGACAUCACGGGAGGACAUCCUCCUGUGAUCAAAGGAGCAAUCCGCUGAAAGAUGGGCUCGCGUCCGAUUAGAUAGUUGGCGGGGUAACGGCCCACCAAGUCGACGAUCGGUAGCCAGACUGAGAAGUUGAACGGCCACAUUGGGACUGAGACACGGCCCAG